rnacentral:tRNA from 1 species
GGGGGCAGAGCUCAGUGGUAGAGUGUGUACUUGUCAUGUACAAGACCCUGGGUUUGAUCCCCAGUACCCCUG